GUUAGAAUGAGCUCAUUUAAUACAGUAACAACUGAAAUAAACAGGUACAGAGAGGCUGCAAAGCUGCACCUUUCCCACAGUGGUACAAAGCAAGCCUUUGCUGUCGUUACCCACUGGCCAUAGUAAAAAAAAAUAAAAAUAAAAUAAUAAUAAUAAUAAAAAGAGGUUAAAUUAUGCCUUUAUCACUCUAAUUUCAUGAGUAAUACUACUAGCUGUUGGUGGCAAAGUGUUGGCAGUGGGUUCUGCAGGGGCAAACACAGGUAAAAAGCAUGUAUGUAAGGUGGCGUUUUAGUUUCUUGGCUUUUCACCAUCCAAACUAUUUUAAUUGGCAAUAAAUAAAAUUAAUCCUGCCCUAAUCAAAUCUGCUUUGCCCACAGUAAUACUUGCUAAGUGAUCCCUUGUCCUUAUCCUGACCCACAAGCUUUUUUGUCUUACUUUCUCUCCCUGCCCUGAUGAAGAGGGACACGUGGAGAGCCCUGGGUAGGAGUCUGGUGGCUGCCCAAGGUCAACCCACCAGAGUAGUACACUGAUUUGGAAGUCAGGGUGAAAUUUCAUUCACCUCAUCUAUUUACUAUGUAUUAGUCAUGACGAAAGCUCUUGCAACUUACAAUAGUACUGGAAAAAGAAUUCCAACUACUCACAGAUGCAAAGAGAGCAGAAAAUUCCGCAUGUUAAGAAAUUUGGUAAUAUAGUUCUGCUAGAUCUUCCCAACCGUGACCAAUUACACAGCUCUCUCUUUCCUGCUUUUUUCCCUGAACCUUCACCCAGACAAAGCAUGUAAUGGCUUUAUUUUUGUUUUGUUUCAACACUGAACAACUUCUUCAAGUGAUUGUCAUUGAAGGCUACUUAAAUUCAGGUCUUGGUGUGUGCUGUCAGCUCAGGACUCUGCUGCCAGCAGAAGUGGAAGAACCUUUCAUGAACCAAAUGUUUCUCAAUUUGAUUAAAGUAAUUCACAUUUGGGCCCUUUCCCUGAUGGCACUUCUUCCUACCCCAAAAAUCUAUUUCCUUGGCAAGUUGUGUAAUCCUCUGAUCUUUUUCCCAACUCAAUUUCCAGAUUCCAAACAGAUAGUGGUGUAGCAGUUGGUUGUAGCACUACCUGGCAUCACUGCUUCUUGCCCCUUCAUAGCAGAAGCCUUUGGAUUUUCAGAGCAAGGGGGCUUGUGGCGUGCUUCGGUCUCUGAAGAGUCCUCUUGGUUAGCACUCACUUUUCUUACAGUGCCUUCAGGUGUCAGGACAAUUUCAGACAUUUGUAGAUGAGGUGAGUUUUGAGAUGUGGAGGAUCUACUGCUGUCUGGAGUAGGGGUGACUUCAUUAGUGUCUUGGUGCAUUUCUUGUCCUGAGCAAAACGUGCAACUGUUGUAAUUUCUCAGUGUGUUGAUAAGGAAGGAUAUGCAAUGUUUUUUCUAAGCAUUUAUUUUCCCAAGUGAAUUAAUUAAUAAAAAGAUCUGUUCUAGUAGGCAAAAGUGUUUACAACUUUCAGCCUAUUUGGUGAGUUAAACACUGGUGAAAAAUGUGGGGUUUUCCUUGUCUUGCUGACUUAUGUGAAAAUUGCUACCUGCGCACAGUAAAUCCUCCUGAAUUUUCCUUCUUUCUUUCCUCUUGAGAAAACAAAGCUUUGAUAUCCACCUGGUUGUAGUCUCACUGUAGUCUAAAUAUUUGUUAGAUCUGGAAGUAUUUAUAUCCACAUCCAUGCACCACUUCAGUGCCUCAUUUCUAUUACAAUUAAAGGCAGUUGGUCCUGUGAAGACUAUUUCCUCUGCUUCUAGACAGCACUAGUAAUAGUCAUACCAGAACACUUGACCAAUGAAAAUCGCACCCAGAUGUGUGCUAGUAGUACCAAUAAUGGCGAGUGUUACCUGAUCUUAUUAGCAUCGUGCUAAAAUGAUAAACUCCAGAGUAUGUCACAUUCAAGCUCACAUUCUAU
ensembl:lncRNA